AUGGUGAUGAACGUCGGGGUACUUGAUGGUCUCGGUCUCCAAAGUGGUACAGGGAGAGAUGCACGGCCGUGGUCAUCUUCGGACCUGGGGCUCCAUGAUGGCGUCGUGGUGGUCUUGCAGCAACAGCAGCAGCAAGGGCGUCGGGCAGGGGAUGGUCGCGGCAGAGGACGAAGCAGAGGAGCAGCAGCGCGAGGUCGGGCUUGCGGGAGGGCGGAGCGACGGGAACAGCGGCGGACGAGCUCCUCUUGGUCGCGGUGGUCCCCACGUCCGGCGGUCGGAAGCGGCGAGUCGCGAGGAUGA
rnacentral:rRNA from 1 species